GUCUACAGCCAUGUUGCCCUGAACAAGCCCGAUCCCAUCUGAUUGUGUAAGCUAAGCAGGAAAGCUAAGCAGGGUCAGGCCUGGUUAGUACUUGGAUGGGAGACUACCUAAGAAGACCAGGUGCUGUAGGUG
ensembl:rRNA 5S_rRNA 5S ribosomal RNA